rnacentral:rRNA from 2 species
GCCGACCAGCAGUAGGGGCCUUGAGCCCCCAAAGGCACGUGUCGUUGGCGUAGCCAGCGUGGCGGAUGUGCCACGUUGGUUGCCAUGAAUUUUAAUUCCCACCGAGCGGCGGGUAGAAUCCUUUGCAGACGACUUAAAUACGCGACGGGGUAUUGUAAGAGGCAGAGUGGCCUUGCUGCCACGAUCCUCUGAGAUUCAGCCCUACGUCGCUUAGAUUUGU